GGGAAGGCGGAGCCGUUGGGGAGCUUGAGGGGAAGCGUGGUCUCUCCCGGAAAAACCACUUCCACCGAGAACGCUGAGCGAGAGCACCUGGAUGGAGCACCUAAGGGAAGUGUUCAGAAAGACAUGUUUGUUGAGAGUUCUUACCGUGAAAAAAUAAAAAGAUUUGAUGACUUUUCUAAGAUAAUGAAUUCAGAAGCAUCUGGAGGUUUCAGUGUUUGGCCUCUGAAGGAGGGCUUAUAGGGCUUUUUAUAAGUCCUAAAGCACGUAGGUUCUUUUUGUUAUUCCCAAUUGGUUGCCUUGUAGAUUCCUACUAAAACCCUUAAUGAAAAGGACUAUGCGCUAUGGUUGUUCUAAAGAAAUAGAAGUAAUAGUAGGACUAGAGAAAGCUGCAUGGGACAGAGUAGCACUGUCAGAACACAGAAAGGUGAGUAUCCACUGCUGAGGAGCAGAUCUCUUAUCUAACAUACGAAAUGUCUUCAUUUGACAGACAGGAAGCUGAAAAAAAACUUUGGCAUUUUUAUUCAGACACGUAUAAAAACAAAAC
rnacentral:lncRNA from 1 species